GCUGGCGUAGCUCAGUUGGUAGAGCUCCUGAUUUGUAAUCAGGUGGUCGUUGGUUCGAAUCCAAUCGCCAGCUCCA
rnacentral:tRNA from 1 species